rnacentral:rRNA from 1 species
AGUGAACGCUGGCGGUAGGCCUAACACAUGCAAGUCGAACGGCAGCACAGUAAGAGCUUGCUCUUACGGGUGGCGAGUGGCGGACGGGUGAGGAAUACAUCGGAAUCUACUUUUUCGUGGGGGAUAACGUAGGGAAACUUACGCUAAUACCGCAUACGACCUACGGGUGAAAGCAGGGGAUCUUCGGACCUUGCGCGAUUGAAUGAGCCGAUGUCGGAUUAGCUAGUUGGCGGGGUAAAGGCCCACCAAGGCGACGAUCCGUAGCUGGUCUGAGAGGAUGAUCAGCCACACUGGAACUGAGACACGGUCCAGACUCCUACGGGAGGCAGCAGUGGGGAAUAUCGGACAAUGGGCGCAAGCCUGAUCCAGCCAUACCGCAUGGGUGAAGAAGGCCUUCGGGUUGUAAAGCCCUUUUGUUGGGAAAGAAAAGCAGCAGGUUAAUACCCCGCUGUUCUGACGGUACCCAAAGAAUAAGCACCGGCUAACUUCGUG